UACAGAAAUACAUAAUAGAAUGAGGUUCGCCUUUCAAUCUUUUAGCCAUUAAAAUAUUCCUUUCACUUUUAUGCUACAAAGGGUAGCUAUCUUUAACAUUGCAUGGCUUCGAAACUUUGGGGUCAUAUAUUUUUGUAUAAUUUUAACUUUUUCAUUGUGUACUGAUAAGAGCUGCAAAGCUUCCAGAAUUUCAUUCCAUUUUUUCCUUUCCUCAUUAUAAAUCAACUCCAAAGUGCAACCAGAGAAAUGUGUUUUUAUGCAGUACCUAUCUUGUCAAGUACAUGUGUGUUCAUCUUUAUCCUAUGAAUUUUAUUUUGUUAUCAGAUUUUGUUUUCCUUGCUGCAAUCAGAACCAGAAAACAACAACAAAGGAAAAUGUUAUGAUAAAUGUUGCUCCAGCACCUCAGUUUGUGCCAAUAUUGAGGUCUUGUAUACCUCAAGAUCUCUGCCUGAGAAAGUAAAAUUUUACAUGCCACAGAAUUCUUGUCUGACCUGGUUUUCCUAGUCAGAUCCUUAGAGUGGGUUGUUUGAGAUUUAAACUUGAAUUCUUGGAUUCUUCUUAGGUUGUCUCUGAAAUUUAAACUGUUUGUUAAAUUUCAACUUUCAGCAUAUUUGCUAUAACUUUUAAUGAUUAGGUAUGCCUGUUACCUGCUGUGGCACAUGUACAGCUUAACAUAUGCAUGCAUAUUAAGACUUCCUAUUUGCAGUUUCAUGCCUUUUUUUUUUUCAGCUAUUGGAGUAACCCUGAUAAGGUUGAUAGCAUAGAACAUCU
rnacentral:misc_RNA from 1 species